UACGAAGGGGGCUAGCGUUGUUCGGAAUUACUGGGCGUAAAGCGCGCGCAGGCGGUCUUCCAAGUCAGUGGUGAAAGCCCGGAGCUCAACUCCGGAAUUGCCAUUGAAACUGUUGGACUUGAGGAUGAGAGAGGUGAGUGGAAUUCCCAGUGUAGAGGUGAAAUUCGUAGAUAUUGGGAAGAACACCAGUGGCGAAGGCGGCUCACUGGACCGUUGUUGACGCUGAGGUGCGAAAGCGUGGGGAGCAAACAGG
rnacentral:rRNA from 1 species